rnacentral:rRNA from 1 species
GACGAACGCUGGCGGCGUGCUUAACACAUGCAAGUCGAGCGAUGAAAGCCUUAUGAACUAUUCGUAGUGAUUGGGGCCGGAUUAGCGGCGGACGGGUGAGUAACGCGUGAGCAACCUGCCUUAAACAACGGGAUAGCCUCGGGAAACCGGGAUUAAUACCGUAUGAGACCCCGCCUUCACAUGAAGAAGAGGUUAAAGAUUUAUCGGUUUAAGAUGGGCUCGCGUCUGAUUUGCUAGUUGGUGAGAUAAAAGCCCACCAAGGCAACGAUCAGGAGACGGCUUGAGAGGGUGAACGGUCACACUGGGACUGGGCCACGGGCCAAACUCCUAGGGGAGGCAGCCGUGGGGAAUAUUGCACAAUGGGGGAAACCCUGAUGCAGCGACGCCGUGUGAGCGAUGAAGGAAUUCGUUUCGUAAAGCUCUGUCCAAGGGGAAGAUAAUGACAGUACCCUUGGAGGAAGCCCCGGCUAAAUACGUGCCAGCAGCCGCCGUAA